UCUCUCUUUGCGCGCUCAGCGCUCCGGGGAGCAGGUGGGGGGAGCGCCUCCGUGGACACCCCCCUCCGCGCCCUCACCCGGGUCUCUGAGCCUCCCCGAGGCCCUGGGCCAGCGGAUGCUGGGGAGGGUGCUGAGAGGCGGCCCUCGGCCUCCCCAGGCCGGAUCUCGGGGUGACCGGAGGAGCCUGUGAGAGGGGAAGGGUCGAUGUGGCGCCCCGCGCUCAGGGUCUGGAAGACUGCGCGGCGGGAGCUCUCCGUGGGGUUACAGCUCAGCUGCCACGAGAGGGGGUUUGACGAUAACAUGCUUAAAAAAUAACCGUCGGCUUACUGUGUACGAGCCAUCGUUUUUUAGAGUUUUAUGUGUGCGAUCUUAUUUAAUACUUCCUGGGACCCAGUGAGUUAGGUACCAUCAUUGUCCCCCCCAUUACAGGUGCGGCAACCAGGGCUCGGAGAGUGAUUUGCCCAAGAUAAUUCAGCCGCCACUAAGUGGCAUGGCCAGGAUUUGAUAUUGGAUCUUUUCAGCCUCUAUGCUAUUGUCCUGGUGGGGCUGGGGACGAAGUGCGGGGCUGGGGAAAUGCGUCCUUCCUCCUCACCGCUGCACUCCCGUCCUUGUGGUCUGAUAUGGGGAAAGGGACUGGGAAGCAUCCUAGGUACCCAGCAUCUAAGCCCCGUGAGGGGUGAGGCCAAGACUACUAUUUCAUCCCCCCUCUUUCCCCACAAGCAUCUUCUGUGUUUCUCUGAAGAGGAAAAACACAAACAAAACAACUGAAUCUUCUCCUAACUCCUGCUGCCAUCUCAGGAGGAGCUCAGCAAUCUGAGUGCCCUUCUAUUCCCCACUCCUCCCCGGGGAACUUCAGACUGCCGCCUCCCUCCUCCCUUCCCCCUCCCCCCGCCCCCCGAACCGGCUGGGCUUCCUCCUGGAGUGUCUAAGCCUCUCUUGUGCUGUUACUAUAUGGUCAUUUCCUUGGAAUUCUGGGGAGGGAGGGCUCACCCAGAGGGCUCACUGGGCCACCACUCUUGACUUGUCCAUGCAGCGGCAUGGGAGGCUUUUCAGGACUGAUUUACAGCAAGAGGCCACAUGAAACUGCUGGAGUGAGACCAACUGGAUGAAAAAUAGUUGCAGCCAUCAGCCAAUGACUCCAUUGGCUGAUCUGAAAAUGGGCCGAGGGCAGGCCACGCUAGAGGAAAGCCAGCAGAUUGGGGACACGGGUUCAAGCCCUGGUCUGGGAGGAUCCCACAUGCCGCGGAGCGACUGGGCCCGUGAGCCACAACUGCUGAGCCUGAGCGUCUGGAGCCUGUGCUCCGCGACAAGAGAGGCCGCGAUGGUGAGAGGCCCGCGCACCGCGAUGAAGAGUGGCCCCCGCUUGCCGCAACUGGAGAAAGCCCUCGCACAGAGGCGAAGACCCAACACGGCCAAAAAUAAAAAUAAUAAAUAAAUAAUAAAUUUAAAAAAAAAUUUAAAAAAAAAA